AAACAAAACAAACAAACAAAAAUAAACAGCCCAACUCCGGCAGCCUCAAACACUUUUCAGGGCAAAAAAAGCACCGCCUCGGCCGGCGAGAAGGUUCAGGUAUUUCCUACAAGCUUCCACUGCUUCUGCUGGGUUCCGCCGGGGGAAGCAAGCCGCGGGCGCUGGGAAUUUUGCUGGGUGUUCCCCGUGCCCUCUGAACCCGCCUCAAAGGGCCCGCAGCCUCUGGGAGUUUCUUAGAAAUAAGCGAUGGGGCACUGAGCCCCUUCUCUUCCCGGCCGGGAGAAGCAGCACCGAGGCCGGGGGGAGGCAGGGAGGGAAGGAGGGAGUCCCGGGCCGAGCCCCGCGGGGUAUUUCAUAGCUGAACCAUGGCUCGAAAUCCGGCUGAGAGUCACGUCGUGACUGCCGCCUUUCCACUUGGCUGCCGGCUCGGCCAUUGAGGUAUUCCGGCCCCGCUGCCAGCCUCCCGAGGUGCCACCCGGGUGGCCAAACCGUGGGGACGAGAAGCGGGGCCGGGGGCUGCCGCCAGCCCGGGGUGGUUCUGCCUCCUCCGCUCCCCUUUUUCGUUUGCAGGGAAAUUCCGCCUUCCGGCUCUGGAAGGACUAAGGGGGAAGAAGAAAAAUAAAAACUAAAAACCCCACCAAAC